UCGAGAAUCUUCCACAAUGGACGAAAGUCUGAUGGAGCGACGCCGCGUGACUGAUGAAGUCCUUCGGGACGUAAAGGUCUUUUAUGGGGGAGGAAGUAAUUGACGUUACCCCAUGAAUAAGGGGCUCCUAACUCUGUGCCAGCAGGAGCGGUAAUACAGAGGCCCCGAGCGUUAUCCGGAAUCACUGGGCGUAAAGGGUGUGUAGGCGGCUAUGUUAGUCUUUCGUGAAAGGCUUUGGGCUUAACCCAGAGACCGCGGAGGAAACGGCAUGGCUUAGAGGGCGCGAGAGGUAUACGGAACUCAUAGUGUAGGGGUGAAAUCCGUUGAUAUUAUGGGGAACACCAAAUGCGAAGGCAGUAUACUGGCGCGUACCUGACGCUGAAACACGAAAGCGUGGGAAUCGAACGGGAUUAGAUACCCCCGUAGUCC
rnacentral:rRNA from 1 species